rnacentral:sRNA from 1 species
AGUCGUAACUGCAGAAGACACUUCCUUAGAAGACAGCAAACUGGAAGACUCAGUGCCUUUAACAGAAAUGCCUGAAGCAGUGGAUGUAGAUGAGAGCCAGUUGGAGAAUGUAUGUCUGAGUGAGUAUCCUCAAUACCUUGGAAAUUUGGCUGGGUCCCCAAAAGAUGUUAAACCAGCAGAGCCUAGAAAACUAGGAGUAAGCUCUGAGCAGCAGGAGAAAGGAAAAUCUGGUCCUGAUGAGGAGAUGAUGGAAGAGAAACUCAAAUCUCUAUUUGAGGACAUUCAACUUGAAGAAGGAGUAGAGUCUGAGGAGAUGACAGAAGAAAAAGUACAGGCUAUUCUUAAGCGUGUUCAGCAAGCAGAACUGGAAAUGUCUUCAAUUACAGGUUGGCAGAAUGAGACAUCAAGUGGAAACCUAGAGUCCUGCGCUCAAGCUCGAAGAGUAACUGGUGGGUUACUAGAUCGACUGGAUGACAGCCCUGACCAGUGUAGAGAUUCCAUUACCUCAUAUCUCAAAGGAGAAGCUGGAAAAUUUGAAGCAAAUGGAAGCCAUACAGAAAUCACUCCAGAAGCAAAGACAAAAUCUUACCUUCCAGAAUCCCAAAAUGAUGUAGGAAAACAGAGUACCAAGGGAACUCUGAAACCAAAAAUACAUGGAUCUGGUCAUGUUGAAGAACCAGCAUCACCACUAGCAGCAUAUCAGAAAUCUCUAGAAGAAACCAGCAAGCUUAUAAUAGA